UACGUAGGGGGCAAGCGUUGUCCGGAUUUAUUGGGCGUAAAGAGCGUGUAGGCGGCUAGGUAGGUCCGUUGUGAAAACUCGAGGCUCAACCUCGAGACGCCGAUGGAAACCAUCUAGCUAGAGUCCGGAAGAGGAGAGUGGAAUUCCUGGUGUAGCGGUGAAAUGCGCAGAUAUCAGGAAGAACACCCGUGGCUAAGGCGGCUCUCUAGGACGGAACUGACGCUGAGGCGCGAAAGCGUGGGGAGCAAACAGG
rnacentral:rRNA from 1 species